UCUCAUUCAUUAAAAUUGCCGAAGCACCUCCCUCUCCUCCCGUUACAGAAAACGGACCAGAACAUUAGACGACAUCCACUCCACCCAAAUAUCCGUACAUAUACGUGCAAUACGCUUCUACGUAUCCAAUCCUUUCUUAAAGUUUUGGUCGGUUGAAAAAUGGAGCCGGCGCCUAAUGGCGAAGAACCCACUUCCUGGGAUGAGCUAUACAACAUAAACUUGAUGCCAUCAGAGUUGUUCCUCAAGUUUAGAAAAGAAAUUCAGGGAUUUCGAGUUGGUGUCAAUUUGGAGUUCUACAAUGCUCCAAUCAAUGAUUUCCAAACAAAGCUUGUGCUGAAGCCUUUAUCUCCUGAACGGAGGUGGAAGUUUGCAUAUGAGCCUAUACAUCAAGAUGUACGCCUCCUUUCAAAAAAGAUCCCUGUGACGAAAUUUCUAAAUCUCCAGGUUGGCAUAGGCCAUAAUUUCAAGCUAAAUGCAACUGGUUGGAAAUGGAAGCUCACCACCUGUUUGGGUGGAGAUGGAGUUUCUCGGAUUCGGAAUAAGACAACACUUGGCUUGGUUCCUGGCCUGGAUUUUCGAUUUGGGUGGAGAGCUGAUUAUGUUCUUCCAGAAAUUACAGGACAUGUUUUCACAAUUAUGUGUAGCUUAUCAUUGAUACCUUGAAUAUAACAGAGCUCUUGGUACUGAUGAACCAUUGUUCAACAUGAACUCUGGGCGGUUGCAAGCUUCACUAGAUAGAGUUGAGGCCAUUCUGACUCAUUCGUCAUGAUUGGUUGUCAAAAUAUCAGUUUAUCUUGGCUGCUGCAGAUUGGUUGAGUUCUUGGUUUUCCUUCUCUGUUUCCCCACUUCAAUACAGAAACAGCUAGAUAAGAGCAUAAGAAAUUUGCUUUCGCGGUUUCCCUUAAAGCACGAAUUGUUUGGUGCUGCAUUUAUGAAUCUGGGUACAUCUUUGAUGGUACCGCUCUGAAGGAGAGAUUUGAAAGAGGCUUUCCCAAUCCCAAUUAUUUGUAUCUCAGUAUAUCUUGGCUACGCUGAUUUGUCUGGUUACCUAGUUAAGAUCAAAUUGAAGCAAGCUUAAAAUUUUUCUUGUAAAAAACUGGAAAGGGCAAUAAUCAUAUUAACUAAAGUUGUGGGUUUUA